UGGCUCAGGACGAACGCUGGCGGCGUGCCUAAUACAUGCAAGUAGAACGCUGAAGGAGGAGCUUGCUUCUCCGGAUGAGUUGCGAACGGGUGAGUAACGCGUAGGUAACCUGCCUGGUAGCGGGGGAUAACUAUUGGAAACGAUAGCUAAUACCGCAUAAUAGUAGAUGUUGCAUGACAUUUGCUUAAAAGGUGCAAUUGCAUCACUACCAGAUGGACCUGCGUUGUAUUAGCUAGUUGGUGGGGUAACGGCUCACCAAGGCGACGAUACAUAGCCGACCUGAGAGGGUGAUCGGCCACACUGGGACUGAGACACGGCCCAGACUCCUACGGGAGGCAGCAGUAGGGAAUCUUCGGCAAUGGACGGAAGUCUGACCGAGCAACGCCGCGUGAGUGAAGAAGGUUUUCGGAUCGUAAAGCUCUGUUGUAAGAGAAGAACGAGUGUGAGAGUGGAAAGUUCACACUGUGACGGUAUCUUACCAGAAAGGGACGGCUAACUACGUGCCAGCAGCCGCGGUAAUACGUAGGGUGCGAGCGUUAAUCGGAAUUACUGGGCGUAAAGCGAGCGCAGACGGUUACUUAAGCAGGAUGUGAAAUCCCCGGGCUCAACCUGGGAACUGCGUUCUGAACUGGGUGACUAGAGUGUGUCAGAGGGAGGUAGAAUUCCACGUGUAGCAGUGAAAUGCGUAGAGAUGUGGAGGAAUACCGAUGGCGAAGGCAGCCUCCUGGGAUAACACUGACGUUCAUGCUCGAAAGCGUGGUAGCAAAACAGGAUUAGAUACCCU
rnacentral:rRNA from 1 species